rnacentral:rRNA from 1 species
AUGGAAGCUCUUUUCUGGAAUGUAAGAGGUUUCGCCGCUAGGGGGCGUCGAGACCAGAUUCAUGACUUGGUUUGCGGUGAUCACAUUGACAUUUUAGGGCUUGUUGAAACGUUAAAGGAAUCCUUCUCUCCCUCUGAGCUGUCUGCGGCUGCAGGCAUGGACAGAUUUGACUGGCAUUAUAUCCCUGUCUCGGGUCACUCUGGGGGCAUCUUGAUUGGGUCUAAACGGGAUGUGUUUGAUUUCAUUACUUUUGAUCAUGGCAUUUUUUGGGCCAGCGUUGUGGUUCACCAUCAUCAGCUAAACACGUUAUGGGAAUGUCUUGUGGUUUAUGGCCCCGCUGAUCACUCUCUUGCGGCCAUGUUUCUUGAUGAGAUUUCUAAUAAAAUUGAGUCUUGUAAUAUUCCUUUAUUGAUUGGUGGUGACUUUAAUCUUUUAUGUUCCUCGGCAGAUAAAAACAGCCCUAAUUUCUCUUGGCCCCUGGCCAACGCCUUUAAUGAGUUCAUUAGUAAUUGUGCGAUCUGUGAGCUCCCUAGGGUGGGGGUGCGGUUCACUUGGUCAAAUCAUCAGUCAAACCCUGUCCGAUCGGUGCUGGAUUGGGUCUUUGUCUACGAUAGAUGGGAUUCGCUCUUUCCUCGUGUGUCGCUGAAAGCCAGACUUGCGGUUGGAUAUAAUCAUGUUCCCCUCGUCGUGGAUAUGGGCCUUAAUUCUCCUCUGUCAUCUUCCCAUUUCUAA